rnacentral:rRNA from 1 species
UACGUAGGGCGCAAGCGUUGUCCGGAAUUAUUGGGCGUAAAGCGCUCGUAGGCGGUUUGUCGCGUCUGCUGUGAAAACUCGAGGCUCAACCUCGGGCUUGCAGUGGGUACGGGCAGACUAGAGUGCGGUAGGGGUGACUGGAAUUCCUGGUGUAGCGGUGGAAUGCGCAGAUAUCAGGAGGAACACCGAUGGCGAAGGCAGGUCACUGGACCGCAACUGACGCUGAGGAGCGAAAGCAUGGGGAGCGAACAGG